UCACAUUGUACCAAAACAUACAAAGAUUCAGAAAUGACGUUUUACGUGUUUUCCAUUUUUUACUUAUCCACCCUGUACAGCGCAUAGAUUUUCGUUGUUUUUUCGCCUCUAUUUAAUUUCGUUCAAGUUUUAUUUUCGCGAAUAAAAGUAACCCACGUUUUUCUCCAGGGUCGCAUCAAUUCCUAUACAAAAAUUUAUCAAAAACCGUUCGGUAGUUUUCGCG